rnacentral:lncRNA from 10 species
GCUCGGGUCCCCUUCCACAUCGUGGAAGCUUUGUUCUUUCGCUCUUUGCAAUAAAUCUUGCUACUGCUCACUCUUUGGGUCCACGCUGCUUUUAUGAGCUGUAACACUCACCGCGAAGAUCUGCAGCUUCACUCCCGAGCCAGCGAGACCACGAACCCACCAGAAGGAAGAAACUCCGAACACAUCUGAACAUCAGAAGGGCAGACUCCAGACACGCCACCUUAAGAGCUGUAACACUCACCGCGAGGGUCCACGGCUUCAUUCUUGAAGUCAGUGAGACCAAGAACCCACCAAUUCCGGACACAAUUUCUUGGCUCUCAGUGGCUUCCAUGGAAGUUCUGCAAUCAACCAGCAGGAGAACCGCUUAAACCCAGGAGGCGGAGGUUGCAGUGAGCCAAGUAUGCAUCACUGCACUCCAGCCUGGAAGACAGAACAAAGGACCUCAGAGUAUUUGGAGAACUUUGAGAAGAGAGGAAUUCUCCCAAAUGUAUAGGUGUCACAGGUAAAAUACAGUCGAGAGAUUUUCUUGGACUUUAAUUCCUUAAAUCAGGAUAGCAAAUAAUAGGGGCUUUUACAAAUUCAAUCUGUUUCCUUACAAAAAUUUUCAGCAAAGUAAUUUCAGCAAAUUAAUUUUCAGCAAAGUAAAUGUAAGAAGACUUAUGUGAAAAAUUAACAUUCUCCAUGUAUCUAUGAAGCCAAACCUAAUAAAACCAGCUUUAAUUUGUGCUCAAGAAUAUUAUUUCACUGAGUUUUCUUAAAUCACAAAGGGGAGACUGUUAUGAAAACUGAUAUAAAAUAAAAAAAACAAGGAAGAAAAGUCUACUAGAUGUCUCUAAUGGAAGACUGCAUUUUUAGAACAUAUCCUUAUAGGCGAUUCUAGCCUUUCUCUGCUAUUUGGCUCUCACACUCUUUACCGUGCAGAUAAUUCACAGCAAUGCAAAAGAAUCCUCAUCUAUAGCCAUGAAAAUAAGUUAUUUGUUAUUUCUGGUAAAGGUUCAAUUGACCUCCCCUUCCAGGAUGAAGAAAGUUUCAUGUCUUUCUGCAUCAUUUCAACUAUUCCUUACUACAUAUAAAUCUGCACUUGUUAACUUCUAUUUUGAAUUGAUUGUGGCAUCUGCCUGCUUCCCCAUUAAAACUGAAUAAAAUCUUUAACACAUAAAAAUGUGUGAAGUAAUUUUUCUGUUUCCUUGUACAAAUUAGAAAGUAAAAUUGAUAAGUGUUCAAAUGACUCAGGCUUCAAGUCCCAUAUUCUUCUUAGUAGAGCAGAGGAUGCC